rnacentral:rRNA from 2 species
UGGCUAAUCCUGGUCGGACAUCAGGAGGUUAGUGCAAUGGCAUAAGCCAGCUUGACUGCGAGCGUGACGGCGCGAGCAGGUGCGAAAGCAGGUCAUAGUGAUCCGGUGGUUCUGAAUGGAAGGGCCAUCGCUCAACGGAUAAAAGGUACUCCGGGGAUAACAGGCUGAUACCGCCCAAGAGUUCAUAUCGACGGCGGUGUUUGGCACCUCGAUGUCGGCUCAUCACAUCCUGGGGCUGAAGUAGGUCCCAAGGGUAUGGCUGUUCGCCAUUUAAAGUGGUACGCGAGCUGGGUUUAGAACGUCGUGAGACAGUUCGGUCCCUAUCUGCCGUGGGCGCUGGAGAACUGAGGGGGGCUGCUCCUAGUACGAGAGGACCGGAGUGGACGCAUCACUGGUGUUCGGGUUGUCAUGCCAAUGGCACUGCCCGGUAGCUAAAUGCGGAAGAGAUAAGUGCUGAAAGCAUCUAAGCACGAAACUUGCCCCGAGAUGAGUUCUCCCUGAGACUUAGAGUCUCCUGAAGGAACGUUGAAGACGACGACGUUGAUAGGCCGGGUGUGUAAGCGCAGCGAUGCGUUGAGCUAACCGGUACUAAUGAACCGUGAGGCUUAACCUUACAACGCCGAAG